CUUGUGUUUAUCAUGGUGUGAGUGUGUGUAUCACGGUGUGUAUCACUAUGUGUGUGUGCGUGCAUGCAUGCAUGCCUGUAUCACCGUGUAUGUGUGUGUCUCACUGUGUGUGUGUGUUUCAGGUGCGGGUUUUGCAUCCUGUCCCCUGCAGAGGUCAAAUGGCUGUGACCUCUGGUUGUCAUCAGACUAACAUCUGAAGUGUCAUGUGGUGUCACAGCUUCAUGCGUUGUACUGAGGCAUGAUGGGAGAUGCAGUUCUUUCCGUUUAUUGCUGGAAUUUCUUUUUGUACCCAUUUUCAAAACUAAUUUAAGAAAAACAUAAAAGUUGAAACGUG